UCCUUGGUUUAACCCACUUUCAGCCUGGCGCAUUAGGGGGCGCUAGUAUAAAUAGUGGCCAUUUGAGCGUCCCUGGAUCGCUUACCUGUGAUCUCCCCUUUGGUCACCUGACUUCCCUUUGGUGUUGCCGAGAUCAUUUGCGGGUUACACUUCUGAAGCCUCCAUCGCGGCUGGUCGUAGCUGUAGAAGCCUCCUCUGAGCCAUUCUGCUCAUGCUUUAUGGUUUUACGCCACGCUACGCGAACUGAAGUGCUGCUGCUUUGCUUUGUUUUGCUUUGCUUUUACUGUCUGUUCCGGCUGCGAGGUUUCUUUCCUACUGCUGCCAGCCUUUAAAGUGGACGUCGGCGUGGACAACGGCCAUAUGCAUGCCACGCGAGUCGGCUGGCGUGCAUGUUGAUUGACUGACUGGAAGAUUAACUUAUAGUCGGGCAGACGGCCAGUUGGAGUACUACGGCGAUUCCGUCUGCUCCAUAUUUUAGAGUUUUAUCUAGAUUAUGCGGAGCGCCGACGUGGAGGAGACUAGGGUGCCUUGGAGGUGGGAUCCUUUGAGUGUACACACCUGCCUUGUUUAGUUUAUUAGUGUUAGUGUGUGAUAGUGUGCUGCACUUGUGUCUUGGUGUGUUUUCUUCUUUUUUUGAGUUUGUGUGUGUGGCAUCCCUGCCCCUCCACUGGUAAGCCUCAGCUCUGAAUACCCCUUUUUUAAGCAUAUUUAUACACUAAUAUUUAUGAUUGUGCUUUUAUACGUUGUUUUAAAUAAUUAAUAAAUUGUUAACUUAUUUUAUCAUUGAA